CUACGGGAGGCAGCAGUGGGGAAUCUUGGACAAUGGGGGCAACCCUGAUCCAGCCAUGCCGCGUGAGUGAUGAAGGCCUUAGGGUCGUAAAGCUCUUUCGCCUGUGAUGAUAAUGACAGUAGCAGGUAAAGAAACCCCGGCUAACUCCGUGCCAGCAGCCGCGGUAAUACGGAGGGGGUUAGCGUUGUUCGGAAUUACUGGGCGUAAAGCGCGCGUAGGCGGACUGGAAAGUUGGGGGUGAAAUCCCGGGGCUCAACCCCGGAACUGCCUCCAAAACUAUCAGUCUAGAGUUCGAGAGAGGUGAGUGGAAUUCCGAGUGUAGAGGUGAAAUUCGUAGAUAUUCGGAGGAACACCAGUGGCGAAGGCGGCUCACUGGCUCGAUACUGACGCUGAGGUGCGAAAGUGUGGGGAGCAAACAGGAUUAGAUACCCUGGUAGUCCACACCGUAAACGAUGAAUGCCAGUCGUCGGCAAGCAUGCUUGUCGGUGACACACCUAACGGAUUAAGCAUUCCGCCUGGGGAGUACGGUCGCAAGAUUAAAACUCAAAGGAAUUGACGG
rnacentral:rRNA from 1 species